AUUGAACGCUGGCGGCAGGCCUAACACAUGCAAGUCGAACGCGUGGCGGAGGGGUGAGUUAUGUCUGGGAAACUGCCUGAUGGAGGGGGAUAACUACUGGAAACUGUAGCUAAUACCGUAAUCUCCCGGAUGUGCCCAGAUGGGAUUAGCUAGUAGGUGGGGUAAAGGCUCACCUAGGCGACGACCCCUCGCUGGUCUGAGAGGAUGACCAGCCACACUGGAACUGAGACACGGUCCAGACUCCUACGGGAGGCAGCAGUGGGGAAUAUUGCACAAUGGGCGCAAGCCUGAUGCAGCCAUGCCGCGUGUGUGAAGAAGGCCUUCGGGUUGUAAAGUACUUUCAGCGGGGAGGCGUUACCCGCAGAAGAAGCACCGGCUAACUCCGUGCCAGCCGCCGCGGUAAUUC
rnacentral:rRNA from 1 species